AAACCAUGAGUAGGGCAAUUUCUAAUCAUCAAAUUCAUCCUCUCCCAAGAUUUUGCAACAAUUUCAUCAUUAUUCUGUUUAAAACUCGUUAUUUGAUUUCUAAGGGA
rfam:Hordeum vulgare subsp. vulgare, WGS project CAJW01000000 data, contig: morex_contig_1597684